UGAGGAAUAUUGGUCAAUGGGCGGAGAGCCUGAACCAGCCAAGUCGCGUGAGGGAAGACGGUCCUAUGGAUUGUAAACCUCUUUUGCCGGGGAGCAAAGAGCGGUACGUGUACCGCGCCGAGAGUACCCGGAGAAAAGCAUCGGCUAACUCCGUGCC
rnacentral:rRNA from 1 species